rnacentral:rRNA from 1 species
AGUCACUGACAUUAGAUACCCGUGUAGUCCAGGGUGUAAACCGCUGCAGACUUGGUGUUGGAGGCCCUUUGGGGGCAUUCAGUGCCGGAGAGAAGUUGUUAAGUCUGCUACUUGGGAGUACGUCCGCAAGGAUGAAACUUAAAGGAAUUGCGGGGGAGCACCACAACGGGUGGAGCCUGCGGUUUAAUUGGACUCAACGCCGGAAAUCUCACCGGAUAGGACAGACAUAUGAUAGUCGGGCUGAAGACUCUACUUGAUGAUCUG